rnacentral:rRNA from 1 species
GACGAACCGUGCGAACGUUGUUCGGAAUCACUGGGCUUAAAGGGCGCGUAGGCGGGCUAUCAAGUCCGGGGUGAAAUCCUCCAGCUCAACUGGAGAACUGCCUCGGAUACUGAUGGUCUCGAGGAGGAUAGGGGCACACGGAACUGUGGGUGGAGCGGUGAAAUGCGUUGAUAUCCAUAGGAACUCCGGUGGCGAAAGCGGUGUGCUGGAUCCUUUCUGACGCUGAGGCGCGAAAGCCAGGGGAGCAAACAGG